rnacentral:rRNA from 1 species
GACGAACGCUGGCGGCGUGCUUAACACAUGCAAGUCGAACGGAAAGACCCUGCUUUUGUGGGGUGCUCGAGUGGCGAACGGGUGAGUAACACGUGAGUAACCUGCCCUUGACUUUGGGAUAACUUCAGGAAACUGGGGCUAAUACCGGAUAGGAGCUCCUGCUGCAUGGUGGGGGUUGGAAAGUUUCGGCGGUUGGGGAUGGACUCGCGGCUUAUCAGCUUGUUGGUGGGGUAGUGGCUUACCAAGGCUUUGACGGGUAGCCGGCCUGAGAGGGUGACCGGCCACAUUGGGACUGAGAUACGGCCCAGACUCCUACGGGAGGCAGCAGUGGGGAAGAUUGCACAAUGGGCGGAAGCCUGAUGCAGCAACGCCGCGUGCGGGAUGACGGCCUUCGGGUUGUAAACCGCUUUCGCCUGUGACGAAGCGUGAGUGACGGUAAUGGGUAAAGAAGCACCGGCUAACUACGUG